CUGAAUUUAUGGAUUGUUUUGAAAGGUUGAAUGAAUCAUUUAAUAUUGCAUUUUUGAAUUUAAAUUAUUUCAAUAAAUGUUGUAUUCUGAAUCUUUCCUGACUGAAUUUUAGACUUUAUUUACAAAAUUAUGUGUUACAAAAUUAUUACAAUAUGCUCACAAAUGAGCCAAAACAUUCAAAUAUUCAUGCAGAGUUUGCUAGCACACCAGUAGCAUAAAGUGGCAUAGAAGUGUAGGAAUAAAAUGUAUAAUUAAGAAGUUGAAAUGCUUUCUUUUCGCCAAGAUUUUGUUAAAAAAAAAGUUGUUAAUGUACAAUGGUACAGGUUUGUAGGCUUUAGAGUAUUAUUAUUAUAAGAAAGCCUAUAUACCUGAUGCAAUAUAUGUGUUGCUAUAGGUUUGCCUUUAAAAGUUUAAAUGAGAUUCCUGCAUGAUAACCAUUAAAUAUAUAUAUAUAAUUUUAUUUAGUGUUCUAAUGCGAUUAUAGAUUAGGAGGACGGUGGGGAUUUGUCAUAUAGAACUUCAAUAGACCGUUUGCAAGACCUGGCUAUGUGACUUCCCAACCCUGAAACUCGAGCAGUCGCGUCGAAAUGAUGCCAAUCAACAAGGUCAAAAUCAUUACUAGCCAAAAAGCGCGUUGUGUCCCAGUCGUACAAAUCCUAUUAAUUAAAAUAGGACUUAAUCAUCUCGUUUGUCUACUAAUAUUAAGAAAUCUGCAUGGUCAGGAGAGUUUCUUCUACUCAAACCCAAAUGAACAUUUUAUUAUCCUAUAUAUUGUUAAGUGUGUGCGCGUGGUUUAUAUAUAUACUUCAAGUUUUGUUUGAUAACACAAUACAACUGAUGUUAACUGCAUGAUAACUAUAGGAUAUUUGUUUAUUUUUGGUAAAUGUUUGGUAAAAGAUAGCAAGCUAAUGAGAUUGUGAUCGUAUGACAAAUCAGUGUUAAAAUUCAAGUUAUAUAUUACAUAAUGGGGGAGUAAACAUGUUGUACUCAUAUAUACGACAGUAAUCUUUCCUCUCACGAACGCUUUUAUGUCUUCUCUAUCGAAGUAAGCAAUUAAAAGUAUAGUUUUGUAUACUAUAACAUGAAAUGAAACUAUAUUAAAGAAAAAAUUACAAUUGCCAAUUGGGUUUUCUCCGCGCUGCAUAAUUGUUUCGUAACGAUACCAAUUUUGUCAUUUUAACGAAGAUUGUCCGUAGUUGUAGAGUUUAAUUAAAGUUCAUGCAGAAAACUAUAGAAUAUUAUAUUAGAGUUUUGAAAUGCUCACCGUUUCUUCUUUUGUCUUUGUACCGCAACACUCUAAAUCUGUAACUAAUACAACUUCUUCUCUUGCACGAAGCAUGAAAUUUUGUCCGGCGUAGUUUUAUUAUGACCGAAUUUGACAUGAAUGAAUAUGUCAGUUACGUCAUGAUGCACGACCAAUCAAUUUUAAGUUAUCAUUUUUCGUAAUUAUUGUAGUAUUCAAAUCAAAUAAAAUGGGUUUAAUUAAAUUUAAUCACAGGCGAACGUCGACUUCGUCUAAAUACCGUAUAAUAAGCGAAUGUUCGUCUGAAUAUCGUAUAUAUUCAUUACUUAAAAUAGUAUCAACCUGAAGCUGUGAUCCAGAUAAUCCUUCAUCUACACCAAUAUAUUAUAGAGAUCUUUUUUAUUGUAUAACGCAUUAACGUCUGUAGAUGACACAGAAUUUUAUCAGAAUUUUUAAUGCAUUACAUGUAACACCAUAGUGUUUGAAGAUUGCCUCGUUGUCCUAUUGCAUUUCAUGGUUCGUUUAAUUUAAAAAGCUCCACAAUCUUGUCUCUGUUUUUCAGUGUGGUUAAGAGUUUUAAUUUGUCUACCUUUGUGAACAUUGACUAUAAGAUAUAGAAAACAGCCGCGUGGCAGAUAAUCUGUUCAUGGAUGCAGUUUUUGAACUCGUCCAGAAGUGUAGUUUGACCGACCCGCCGACCACGUAUAGCGACGGAAUAACUUCGCUAAAUACGCAUCACUCACGAGUCUUCGCGUUCAUUUUCUUUGGCAUGCGAGUGUUGGAACAAAAAGGUCGAAGUCAUUCCUCGCGACCCCACGGUUUCCGUGGCUCGACAGAUGUAGUAUAAGAAUUUAUCCCGCGUAACAUAUCACGAAAUCACGUUGUAUAACGCAUAAAACGCUUGGCCCAGAAGAUCAAAUUUGAACAAAAAACUGUACGUAUCCUCGUCAUCUUAACGUCGUUUUGUCCAAGUGUAUAAGGAAUGUGAAAGCGGCAGAACCGCCAGAGCGUCAGUUUGCUCUUUUGUCUGGCGUCAUGUGAAGAGAUGAAGAAAACAGCAUAAAAUAUGAAACAAGGUCUGGAUUUAUGAAACCAUGGAACCAUGGACUGAUAUCCAGUACAUUGUUAAUUGACCAAUCCUAGCGUUUCAUUUUGAUCAGAUGAUAUCUCUA